GUUAGCUCAGUUGGUAGAGCGCUCGGCUGUUAACCGAUAGGUCGUAGGUUCAAGUCCUACA
rnacentral:tRNA from 1 species